rnacentral:rRNA from 1 species
GGACGAACGCUGGCGGCGUGCUUAACACAUGCAAGUUGAACGGUAUGACAUGGAAGCUUGCUGAAGUGUCAUAUAGUAGCGGACGGGUGAGUAAUGCAUGAGAAGCUGCCAUUGGGAGGGGGACAACAGUUGGAAACGGCUGCUAAUACCCCGUAUGCCGGAAGGUGAAAGGGAGUAAUCCGCCCGAUGAGGUGCUCAUGUCCUAUCAGCUGGUUGGUGGGGUGAAGGCCUACCAAGGCGAUGACGGGUAGCCGACCUGAGAGGGUGGCCGGCCACACUGGAACUGAGAUACGGUCCAGACUCCUACGGGAGGCAGCAGUGGGGAAUAUUGGGCAAUGGGCGAAAGCCUGACCCAGCGACGCCGCGUGGGGGAAGAAGUCUUUCGGGAUGUAAACCCUUGUUGUACGGGACGAAACGAAUGACGGUACCGUACGAGGAAGCCCCGGCAAACUACGUGCCAGCAGCCGCGGUAAUACGUAGGGGGCGAGCGUUGUCCGGAAUCACUGGGCGUAAAGCGCACGUAGGCGGGCUGUUAAGUCGGCCGUGAAAGGCACUGGCUCAACCGGUGUUUGUCGGUCGAUACUGGCAGUCUGGAGUAUGGGAGAGGGAACUGGAAUUCCCGGUGUAACGGUGAAAUGCGUAGAUAUCGGGAGGAACACCAGUGGCGAAGGCGGGUUCCUGGCCCAUGACUGACGCUGAGGUGCGAAAGCCGGGGGAGCGAACGGGAUUAGAUACCCCGGUAGUCCCGGCUGUAAACGAUGGAUGCUAGGUGUGGGGGGGUUCCCCUCUGUGCCGCAGCUAACGCGAUAAGCAUCCCGCCUGGGGAGUACGAUCGCAAGAUUAAACUCGAAAGGAAUUGACGGGGGCCCGCACAAGCGGUGGAGCACGUGGUUUAAUUCGAUGCAAA